UGACGCUGGCGGUAGGCUUAACACAUGCAAGUCGUGCGAGAAAGUAUCUUCGGAUAUGAGUAGAGCGGCGGACGGGUGAGUAACGCGUAGGAAUCUACCUAGUAGAAGGGGAUAGCCCGGGGAAACCCGGAUUAAUACCGUAUACCUCCUUCGGGAGAAAGAAGGCCUCUCUUUGAAGCUUUCGCUACUAGAUGAGCCUGCGUAAGAUUAGCUAGUUGGUGAGGUAAUGGCUCACCAAGGCUACGAUCUUUAGCUGGUCUGAGAGGACGAUCAGCCACAUUGGGACUGAGACACGGCCCAGACUCCUACGGGAGGCAGCAGUGGGGAAUAUUGGACAAUGGGCGCAAGCCUGAUCCAGCCAUACCGCGUGUGUGAAGAAGGCCUUCGGGUUGUAAAGCACUUUAAGCAGGGAGAAAAAGUUAUAGGUUAAUACCCUAUGACCUUGAUGUUACCUGCAGAAUAAGCACCGGCUAAUUCCGUGCCAGCAGCCGCGGUAAUACGGAAGGUGCAAGCGUUAAUCGGAAUUACUGGGCGUAAAGCGCGCGUAGGUGGUUUGUUAAGUUGGAUGUGAAAGCCCUGGGCUCAACCUAGGAACUGCAUCCAAAACUAACUCACUAGAGUACGAUAGAGGGAGGUAGAAUUCAUAGUGUAGCGGUGGAAUGCGUAGAUAUUAUGAAGAAUACCAGUGGCGAAGGCGGCCUCCUGGAUCUGUACUGACACUGAGGUGCGAAAGCGUGGGUAGCGAACAGGAUUAGAUACCCUGGUAGUCCACGCCGUAAACGAUGACAACUAGCUGUUGGGAGACUAUGUCUUUCAGUGGCGCAGCUAACGCUUUAAGUUGUCCGCCU
rnacentral:rRNA from 1 species